rnacentral:rRNA from 1 species
UACGGAGGGUGCAAGCGUUAUCCGGAUUUACUGGGCUUAAAGGGUGCGUAGGCGGGUCUGUAAGUCAGUGGUGAAAUCUUCAAGCUUAACUUGGAAACUGCCAUUGAUACUAUAGGUCUUGAAUUAUCUGGAGGUGAGCGGAAUAUGUCAUGUAGCGGUGAAAUGCUUAGAUAUGACAUAGAACACCAAUUGCGAAGGCAGCUCACUACGGAUGUAUUGACACUGAGGCACGAAAGCGUGGGGAUCAAACAGG